rnacentral:rRNA from 1 species
AGCGAACGCUGGCGGCAGGCUUAACACAUGCAAGUCGAACGCCCCGCAAGGGGAGUGGCAGACGGGUGAGUAACACGUGGGAACGUACCCUUUGGUUCGGAAUAACUUGGGGAAACUCAAGCUAAUACCGGAUAAGCCCUUAUGGGGAAAGGUUUACUGCCGAAGGAUCGGCCCGCGUCUGAUUAGCUAGUUGGUGAGGUAAUGGCUCACCAAGGCGACGAUCAGUAGCUGGUCUGAGAGGGUGAGCAGCCACACUGAGACUGAGACACGGCCCAGACUCCUACGGGAGGCAGCAGUGGGGAAUAUUGGACAAUGGGGGCAACCCUGAUCCAGCCAUGCCGCGUGAGUGAUGAAGGCCUUAGGGUUGUAAAGCUCUUUUACCCGGGACGAUAAUGACUGUACCGGGAGAAUAAGCCCCGGCUAACUUCGUGCCAGCAGCCGCCGUAA